CGGAGAUAUAUGGAGCUUGCUUUAUAUAACUUAGCAGCGAACGGGUGAGUAACACGUAGAUAAUCUAUCCUAUACUGGGGGAUAGCCCGAUGAAAGUUGGAUUAAUACCGCAUAUAGCUAUAUAGUUGCAUGAUUAUGUAGUGAAAGAUUUAUUGGUAUAGGAGGAGUCUGCGGCACAUUAGCUAGUAGGUGAGGUAAAGGCUUACCUAGGCGACGAUGCGUAGCCGGUCUGAGAGGAUGAACGGCCACAAUGGAACUGAGACACGGUCCAUACUCCUACGGGAGGCAGCAGUGGGGAAUAUUGCACAAUGGGGGAAACCCUGAUGCAGCAACGCCGCGUGAGUGAAGAAGGUUUUCGGAUUGUAAAGCUCUGUUAGCAGGGAAGAGGAAGGACGGUACCUGCAGAGGAAGCCACGGCUAACUACGUGCCAGCAGCCGCGGUAAUACGUAGGUGGCAAGCGUUGUUCGGAAUAACUGGGCGUAAAGGAUGCGUAGGCGGUUAAACAAGUUAUAUGUUAAAUAUAUAGGCUUAACCUGUAGAAACCAUAUAAAACUGUUUAACUAGAGUGCAGGAGAGGUAAGUGGAAUUCCUAGUGUAGCGGUGAAAUGCGUAGAGAUUAGGAAGAACACCAGUGGCGAAGGCGACUUACUGGACUGUAACUGACGCUGAGGCAUGAGAGCAUGGGGAGCAAACAGGAUUAGAUACCCUGGUAGUCCAUGCUGUAAACGAUGGGUACUAGGUGUGGGUUGUGAAUAACAAUUCGUGCCGUCGCAAAC
rnacentral:rRNA from 1 species